UACGUAGGGUGCAAGCGUUGUCCGGAAUUAUUGGGCGUAAAGAGCGUGUAGGCGGCCAGGUAGGUCAGCUGUGAAAACUCGAGGCUCAACCUCGAGACGUCGGUUGAAACCAUCUGGCUAGAGUCCGGAAGAGGAGAGUGGAAUUCCCGGUGUAGCGGUGAAAUGCGCAGAUAUCGGGAAGAACACCCGUGGCGAAGGCGGCUCUCUGGGACGGUACUGACGCUGAGACGCGAAAGCGUGGGGAGCGAACAGG
rnacentral:rRNA from 1 species